rnacentral:rRNA from 1 species
GACGAACGCUGGCGGCGUGCUUAACACAUGCAAGUCGAACGGAAAGGCCCCUUUGGGGGUACUCGAGUGGCGAACGGGUGAGUAACACGUGAGUAACCUGCCCUUGACUUCGGGAUAACUUCAGGAAACUGGGGCUAAUACCGGAUAGGAAUCCUUGCUGCAUGGUGGGGGUUGGAAAGCUUCGGCGGUUUUGGAUGGACUCGCGGCUUAUCAGCUUGUUGGUGGGGUAGUGGCUUACCAAGGCUUUGACGGGUAGCCGGCCUGGGAGGGCGACCGGCCACAUUGGGACUGGGAUACGGCCCAGACUCCUACGGGAGGCAGCAGUGGGGAAUAUUGCACAAUGGGCGGAAGCCUGAUGCAGCAACGCCGCGGGCGGGAUGACGGCCUUCGGGUUGGAAACCGCUUUCAGCAGGGGCGAAGCUUGUGGUGACGGUACCUGCAGAAGAAGCACCGGCUAACUACGUG